UACAGAGGGGGCAAGCGUUAUUCGGAAUUACUGGGCGUAAAGCGCACGUAGGCGGCUUUCUAAGUCAGGGGUGAAAUCCUGGAGCUCAACUCCAGAACUGCCUUUGAUACUGGGAGCUCGAGUCCGGAAGAGGUGAGUGGAACUCCGAGUGUAGAGGUGAAAUUCGUAGAUAUUCGGAAGAACACCAGUGGCGAAGGCGGCUCACUGGCCCGGUACUGACGCUGAGGUGCGAAAGCGGUGGGGAGCAAACAGG
rnacentral:rRNA from 1 species